rnacentral:rRNA from 1 species
GACGAUCGCUGGCGGCGUGCUUAACACAUGCAAGUCGAACGGAAAGGCCCUGCUUUUGUGGGGUGCUCGAGUGGCGAACGGGUGAGUAACACGUGAGUAACCUGCCCUUGACUUUGGGGUAACUUCAGGAAACUGGGGCUAAUACAGGAUAGGAGCUCCCGCUGCGUGGUGGGGGGUGGAAAGUUUCGGCGGUUGGGGAUGGACUCGCGGCUUAUCAGCUUGUUGGUGGGGUAGUGGCUUACCAAGGCUUUGACGGGUAGCCGGCCUGAGAGGGUGACCGGCCUCAUUGGGCCUGCGAUACGGCCCAGACUCCUACGGGAGACAGCAGUGGGGAAUAUUGCACAAUGGGCCGAAGCCUGAUGCAGCAACGCCGCGUGCGGGAUGACGGCCUUCGGGUUGUAAACCGCUUUCGCCUGUGACGAAGCGUGAGUGACGGUACUGGGUAAAGAAGCACCGGCUAACUACGUG